CCGUGGUGACGGUGACCCCGCUGCUCAGCUUCUCCCCCCCCCUCAUUCCCCUGCGCGACGUCGACUGCGCGGCCACCGCCGGCCCCCCCGUGAAGCUCCGGCUCUGCCUCCAGCCCCGCCUGGACACCAAAUCCUACACAGGACAGCCGGUGGUGCCCCUCGCCUUCCACGUGGCCGUGGACCCCCAGCGGGUUCGGGGCCGGGGGGUGCUGGGGGCCGGGGGGCGGCACUGGGACGGGCGCCUGGAGCUGCGCGGGGAGGAGGAGAAGUGCCUGGAGGAGACGAUGCGCGUCCUGGACCCCCGGGGCGCCCCCGGCCUCGUCCUCAACCCCGAGAGCACAGCGGGAUGGACCGAGAUCCCCUUCGAGAAGAACUGCGGGGCCGACGAGGUGUGCGAGGCCGAUCUGAGGGUCUCGGAGGUGCCGGGGGGCGCGGUGCUGGUGGGGGCCCCCGGCGUGGAGCUGGCGGUGACCCUAAAACUGCAGAACCGGGGGGAGGACGCCUACGGGGCCACCCUACGCCUCCGCCACCCGCGGGGGCUCUCCUUCCGCAGGGCCGGAGCCACCCAGGUGAGAUUUGGGGGCUUCUCUCCCCGGGGAGCCCCCCCCUGGCUCCCACCCCUCGUGCUGAAGGCACCGGGGGGCAACGGGGGGGGGGGGCGCCCCCAAACCCCCGGCCGGGGGCCCCCCCAGGACCACGGAGGCCAGGUCAACCCAGGGCAUGGUCUCAGAGGCCAGGUCAACCCAGGGCGUGGCCCCGGAGGCCAGGUCAACCCAGGGCAUGGUCCCGGAGGCCAGGUCAACCCAGGCCAUAGCCCCGGAGGCCAGGUCAUCCCAGGGCAUGGCCCCGGAGGCCAGGUCAACCCAGGCCAUAGCCCAGGAGGCCAGGUCAACCUUGGCUAUCGCCAAGCCAACCCUACCGAGGUGCCGUCUACGGGGGGCUGUCACCAUUGGGGCCCCUCCCUCCCCCAGCCCACCCCAAUUUGGGACCCCCCCCACACC
rnacentral:lncRNA from 1 species